UACGUAGGGUGCAAGCGUUGUCCGGAAUUAUUGGGCGUAAAGAGCUCGUAGGCGGUUUGUUGCGUCGGCUGUGAAAACCUGAGGCUCAACCUCAGGCCUGCAGUCGAUACGAGCAGACUAGAGUGUUGCAGGGGAGACUGGAAUUCCUGGUGUAGCGGUGAAAUGCGCAGAUAUCAGGAGGAACACCGAUGGCGAAGGCAGGUCUCUGGGCCACUACUGACGCUGAGAAGCGAAAGCAUGGGGAGCGAACAGG
rnacentral:rRNA from 1 species